ACGAACGCUGGCGGCGUGCCUAAUACAUGCCAGUAGAACGCUGAAGAGAGGAGCUUGCUCUUCUUGGAUGAGUUGCGAACGGGUGAGUAACGCGUAGGUAACCUGCCUUGUAGCGGGGGAUAACUAUUGGAAACGAUAGCUAAUACCGCAUAACAAUAGGUGACACCUGUCAUUUAUUUGAAAGGGGCAAUUGCUCCACUACAAGAUGGACCUGCGUUGUAUUAGCUAGUAGGUGAGGUAACGGCUCACCUAGGCGACGAUACAUAGCCGACCUGAGAGGGUGAUCGGCCAACAUGGGACUGGGACACGGCCCAGACUCCUACGGGGGGCAGCAGUAGGGAAUCUUCGGCAAUGGGGGCAACCCUGACCGAGCAACGCCGCGGGAGUGAAGAAGGUUUUCGGAUCGUAAAGCUCUGUUGUAAGUCAAGAACGAGUGUGAGAGUGGAAAGUUCACACUGUGACGGUAGCUAACCAGAAAGGGACGGCUAACUACGUG
rnacentral:rRNA from 1 species